rnacentral:rRNA from 1 species
UACAGAGGUCUCAAGCGUUGUUCGGAUUCAUUGGGCGUAAAGGGUGUGUAGGUGGCGCCGUAAGUCGGGUGUGAAAUUUCGGAGCUUAACUCCGAAACUGCAUUCGAUACUGCGGUGCUUGAGGACUGGAGAGGAGACUGGAAUUCAUGGUGUAGCAGUGAAAUGCGUAGAGAUCAUGAGGAAGACCAGUGGCGAAGGCGGCAUCCUGGACCGACAUUGACGCUGAUGCGCGAAAGCCAGGGGAGCAAACGGG